AUUGAACGCUGGCGGCAUGCUUUACACAUGCAAGUCGAACGGUAACUGGCCGCAAGGUGCUGACGAGUGGCGAACGGGUGAGUAUGCAUCGGAACGUGCCCAGUCGUGGGGGAUAACGCAGCGAAAGCUGCGCUAAUACCGCAUACGAUCUAUGGAUGAAAGCGGGGGACCGUAAGGCCUCGCGCGAUUGGAGCGGCCGAUGUCAGACUAGGUAGUUGGUGGGGUAAAGGCUCACCAAGCCGACGAUCUGUAGCUGGUCUGAGAGGACGACCAGCCACACUGGGACUGUGACACGGCCGAGACUCCUACGGGAGGCAGCAGUGGGGAAUUUUGUACAAUGUGCGCAAGCCUGAUCCAGCAAUGCCGCGUGCAGGAAGAAGGCCUUCGGGUUGUAAACUGCUUUUGUACGGAACGAAACGGCUCUGGUUAAUACCUGGGGCUAAUGACGGUACCGUAAGAAUAAGCACCGGCUAACUACGUGCCAGCCGCCGCCGUAACAC
rnacentral:rRNA from 1 species